UCUAGCACAGAAGAUAUGCUUGUUGCUGUAUGGCGUUGCCCCACCGGUUUAAAAACUUAGCCAGCACAGCUGGUUAAGCUAAAAUGAACUAGGAAACAUCUGGUAUCUAGAUGAAGUUGAGCGAGCUAAUACUUAAGUUAUUUAUUCGAGUACUAGUACUAACGUUAUAGUACCGUUACUAUCUUACAAGCGAAGGAAAAGUGCCAACGUUAGUUAGCUAGAAUGUUGUCGGUCAACAUACGCUAAACUGGCGAACAUUUCUACACCGUUACCCCGACACAGCCAUGGUGUGGAAAACCCGGUUACUCUACCGGGUAAGAAAACGUGUCCUAUGGAAAAUAUGUGAAGAGUCCCGGACGCAACGAGAGCCCCAAAGCCGGGCCUACCCGUCCCCAAUGUGUGUGAUAUCCCCGUCCCCAGGAUAGAGCAGUGGAAUGAGGCGCCAGUCGGCUGGACUGCUUACCUUGUUUGCUCUCUAUUUUCCCCGACAUUUCGUCGCCAGCAGUGAUUUCACUCGCAAUAAAAACAAGAAAAUGUCGCGCCGUGUCUCCCUCAAUUAUCUCCGCAUUGUCGUUUCACGCGUGUCCGUGAAGAUGAAUUCGCUGGAGCAAUUUUCACUGAGCGAGGAGCUGAGACCAACACAAGCACUACGGUGAACCGGGCGUCCUUCGACAUGGACAGCAGCGCCUCCUGGCGCCUGGAGUUAGCUACGUAAAUUGGUCAGCAAGCGGGUGGGUUUCAAUUUCAGUGGAAAGUGCCCCCUGUGGCUACGAUCUGUGAAGACUUUUGGGCUGCUCAGAGGUAGAAGGAGCAAUACAAUUUAACCAUUUAUAUAACAAUACUCUGACCAAAUACUAUAGGCAUAUAUAAUUGUUGACAGAUAUAUACUGGAUAUAUACUGGAUAUUUUACAAACUAAGUAUUGUAUAAGUAUUUUAUAUUAUAAGCCUUGUAAAGUAUAAUUAUGUACGAGGUCUCUGUCUGUCAACCCCGGUGGGCCUAACAAACCAGGCUAGCCUAUAUUAUCUUGGUUUAGUGACAAAAUAAAUUAACUCACAAAGCAGCAUGUCUAGCAUGAAAAAGUCAGUGUGUGAGAAUGCCCUUAUCUUCUUGUUCUGAAUAAUUGAUCUGACUGGCAGAGUAGAUCUGCAUUCCCUUCUGUCAGUGUUUAGUGAUCUGGAUCAUCCUUUAUCCACCCACGGCUAUCCCGAGGGGCCAAGGGAGAAGCCAUAGAAUUAGGAAUUAGAAUACCAAUACUAGUCAUUUAGGAGAAGCAUGGGGUGGAAUCUUGGACCUCAAGUGAAGAGGUUGACAUUGACCUGACUCAAGCUUUUCUCAAAAAUCUAAGCAUACCUUUGUUGUAUAGUACCUUGUCCUUCAAUGUGUGGAGUCAAUCUUAAUUGCAGCAGAAAUAUUCAUAGUGUGAGUGAGUGUGUAACAUGUCACAGGAAGCAGGUCUGCCCUCUGACUUUAGGGAAUGUAUGUCUCAAGGCUAUGGUGAGUGUUGAUGCAUGUAUGUGUGUGGCUGUGUACACUGUGUGUGUGGAAUGCAUUUGCUGAGGCUAUGGUGAAAUCACAGAGAGGAAAAACAGAACAAUGAGUUCCUGAGCAGAGACAGGCCUGUCAGGACAGGCUAGAGCUCUGCUCACUGACAUAAUAACUGGCCUCUAGUUGUAGUUCCUUCUCUAUGGGUGCCUCAACAUACAGCAAAGCCAAUGCCUCUGUCAGUUUCUUCACUGUAGCUGUAAGCUCCGCUGUUUACUCCAUAUCACUGAUUAGGCAAUGCAAUUUCAUACAAAUGUUUCAUUGGCUGCACACUAGUUUUGUUUGAUAGUGUCAACCACAAUAGCCCAAAGACUAGGACCAAGAGGCGUGGAGGGGUAGCCUUUAGUUACUAUACUCCCAGCCCCUGGAAGAGCCUGACAGAGAACCUGACGGGGGUCGAAACAGUGGACAUAUUUAAAAGAGAUCUUAAAACACACCUUUUUAGCUCUGCUUUUCCUUGGGGUGGUUUGUAGUCUUUCAGUUUUUAUUGUUAUUGUUAUUCUUUAGUUUUUUUAUCCUCUGAUGUUUGUUGUGUAGUAGAUAUUUCUGUUUUCAUUUAUAUAGUUUUUCAUGUUUUUUUUUCUUCAGUGAAGCGCAUUGCAUCUGUCUGAAUUGUGCAUCUGUCUGAAUUAUAAAUAAAGCUUGAUUUGAAUGUGA